UCCAAUACUGUCUGAAGGUGAGGAUUGCC
rnacentral:piRNA from 1 species